rnacentral:rRNA from 1 species
GAUGAACGCUGGCGGCGUGCCUAAUACAUGCAAGUAGAACGCUGAAGGAAGGAGCUUGCUCUUUCCGGAUGAGUUGCGAACGGGUGAGUAACGCGUAGGUAACCUGCCUGGUAGCGGGGGAUAACUAUUGGAAACGAUAGCUAAUACCGCAUAACAGUAGAUGUUGCAUGAUAUCUACUUAAAAGGUGCAAUUGCACCACUACCAGAUGGACCUGCGUUGUAUUAGCUAGUUGGUGAGGUAACGGCUCACCAAGGCGACGAUACAUAGCCGACUUGAGAGGGUGAUCGGCCACACUGGGACUGAGACACGGCCCAGACUCCUACGGGAGGCAGCAGUAGGGAAUCUUCGGCAAUGGACGGAAGUCUGACCGAGCAACGCCGCGUGAGUGAAGAAGGUUUUCGGAUCGUAAAGCUCUGUUGUAAGAGAAGAACGAGUGUGAGAGUGGAAAGUUCACACUGUGACGGUAGCUUACCAGAAAGGGACGGCUAACUACGUG